GCCAGCAGCCAUAUCAACCUGCAACUCACAACUGGCUACCCACAGCAUGGUUGAGCCUGGUCAGUACCUGGAUGGGAGACCUCCUGGGAAGGUAUGGUUGCAGCUGGAA
rnacentral:rRNA from 1 species